rnacentral:lncRNA from 1 species
CCCAUAGCAACAGGGAAGGAGUUCUGAUAAGAGGGGAAACUGUAGCAUCUUGGCCUCCACCUCCAAGUCCACCCAGGUUAUUUAUAACCAUGCUGAGCACAUGGCCACUUCCUUCUGUCUGUGUAUUCAACAUCGCCAGCCGUCAUUUCAGAGGUGCACUGUUAAUUAACUUGGGAGAGGGAGGGGAUCACCCAGAAAGGAGGACUUUCUAGAAACAUCGACGUGGGCCACCAGACUCCCGUGGGAAGCGUUUCCCGCACUAUGGAAUGCAGGGGCAUGGCCCUGCUGUGGGAAGGCAGGCCUACGGUCAGCGGCCUCUCACUGUGGAGCCAAGCAGGCAGGGCCUAGCAUAGGCAGGAGGGUUUCAAACACAGCCUACCUGCCUGGCACCCAGAGGGAGCUGCAUACCACCAUUCUUGCCACCAAAGACUGGAUUUCAGGGUUUUGGAUCAAUGAGCCACCAGUAGGAACUGGAGGAAUCAAUACCUGGCCCCUGAGAGACAGUCCUCGGUGAUGGCGACCAUAAGAGUGUAUGCUACAACAAAUCCUCUCUCCCCGAAGCUGCUCCUGGCUACAGCACCUUAGCCCAGGGAUAGACGAGAAACCAGGAUUCCCAGAGGAGGUGUCUGAGACCAGCAGGUGCUCACUGAACAACAUCUCUUCCAGGAAGAAGAGAAUGAAGACUGCUUCUAGGAGGCGACAUCUCCAUCAGAGCACAUAAGGUCAGG